AGAGUUUGAUCCUGGCUCAGGAUGAACGCUGGCGGCGUGCCUAACACAUGCAAGUCGAACGGGGCGCGCAGGCUGAGGCUUUUCAGAGCGGAAGCCGGCGCUGUCCAGUGGCGGACGGGUGAGUAACGCGUGGGCAACCUGCCCUGUCCUGGGGGACAACAGCCUGGAAACGGCUGCUAAUACCGCAUAUGCCCGCAGCCCCGCAUGGGGCGGCGGGGGAAGUUCCGGCGGUGCAGGAUGGGCCCGCGUCUGAUUAGCUGGUUGGCGGGGCAACGGCCCACCAAGGCGACGAUCAGUAGCCGGCCUGAGAGGGUGGGCGGCCACAUUGGGACUGAGACACGGCCCAGACUCCUACGGGAGGCAGCAGUGGGGGAUAUUGCACAAUGGGGGGAACCCUGAUGCAGCGACGCCGCGUGGGCGAUGGAGUGCUUCGGCAUGUAAAGCCCUAUCAGCAGGGAAGAAAAUGACGGUACCUGACUAAGAAGCCCCGGCUAAAUACGUGCCAGCAGCCGCGGUAAUACGUAUGGGGCAAGCGUUAUCCGGAUUUACUGGGUGUAAAGGGAGCGUAGGCGGCCUGGCAAGCCUGAUGUGAAAUACCGGGGCCCAACCCCGGGGCUGCAUUGGGAACUGCCAGGCUGGAGUGCCGGAGAGGCAGGCGGAAUUCCUAGUGUAGCGGUGAAAUGCGUAGAUAUUAGGAGGAACACCAGUGGCGAAGGCGGCCUGCUGGACGGUGACUGACGCUGAGGCUCGAAAGCGUGGGGAGCAAACAGGAUUAGAUACCAUGGUAGUCCACGCCGUAAACGAU
rnacentral:rRNA from 1 species